rnacentral:rRNA from 1 species
AUUGAACGCUGGCGGCAGGCCUAACACAUGCAAGUCGAGCGGAUGAAGGGAGCUUGCUCCUGGAUUCAGCGGCGGACGGGUGAGUAAUGCCUAGGAAUCUGCCUGGUAGUGGGGGAUAACGUCCGGAAACGGGCGCUAAUACCGCAUACGUCCUGAGGGAGAAAGUGGGGGAUCUUCGGACCUCACGCUAUCAUAUGAGCCUAGGUCGGAUUAGCUAGUUGGUGGGGUAACGGCCUACCAAGGCGACGAUCCGUAACUGGUCUGAGAGGAUGAUCAGUCACACUGGAACUGAGACACGGUCCAGACUCCUACGGGAGGCAGCAGUGGGGAAUAUUGGACGAUGGGCGAAAGCCUGAUCCAGCCAUGCCGCGUGUGUGAAGAAGGUCUUCGGAUUGUAAAGCACUUUAAGUUGGGAGGAAGGGAAGUAAGUUAAUACCUUGCUGUUUUGACGUUACCAACAGAAUAAGCACCGGCUAACUUCGUG